CUGUAGAUCACGUAUAUAAUGGCCAUACCUAAUGUAUCAAUCCUGUAGAGAGUCUGAUGUUUGGUGUUCAGACUUGUGUUUGAUAAUAGAGAGGAUACACUUUCACAUUGAAAGGAGCGGUUAAAGUGUUACUAAUACGUGAUGGUUAAAAUGUGACAUGCAGUGUUUAAAAGAUGAUGGGAUUACUAUUCGUUUUGUUCAGUUGAUAUUUAUCAAUUUGACAUGACAGAAAAUUUCUAUAAGAAGAAGCUAGGAUAAGAUAAGUUUUUUAAUUUAAAAGUUUCAUGGAUUUAACUUAAUUGGAUUGGUAGGAUCUUGUAUCUUGAUUACUGGAGAGUGUCGUUUUUUAUCAUACAAUAUUUGCCUAUGAAUUUACAGUUUCUGCGUUGAAAAUUCAGGAAAAAAUAAUUUUGUAUUAUUUUAAUGACUGGAUUAUUUAAUAAAGUGAUAUUCUGAGGAAAAAAAAGUUAUGAAUAAUGUCAAUCACUCGGAUGUUGCGGAAGUUCCAGAUGUGGCGACAGAAGGAGAAAACGGAGUGAUAACUCAGGAAGUAUUGGAUAAUGCUGCAAUCCAAUCAUUGGAUAGUACCCGCCGUAUGCUGCAGAUGUGUGAAGAGUCCCAAGAUGUAGGAAUUAAAACCAUUGUUAUGUUGGACCAACAAGGGGAACAACUUGAUAGGAUCGAAGAAGGUAUGGACCAGAUUAAUCAAGACAUGAAAGAUGCAGAGAAAAAUCUGGAAGGAAUGGAAAAAUGUUGUGGGUUAUGUGUGUUGCCAUGGAAACGAAUGAAGAACUUUGAGAAAGGAGGAGCUUACGAUAAAACAUGGAAAGCAUCUGAAGAUGGCAAAGUGAACACAGAUGGACCAAGAGUUAUGGUAGAUGAAAGAAAUGGGGCUGGACCACAAGGAGGAUUUAUUACCAAAAUUACAAAUGAUGCUAGAGAGGAAGAAAUGGAAAAUAACUUAACUGAAGUCAGUGGAAUGUUAGGUAAUCUUAGAAAUAUGGCCAUUGAUAUGGGAAGUGAAAUUACAUCACAGAAUAAUCAACUGGACAGAAUAUCAAAUAAGGCUGAUUCUAACGCUACUCGUAUUGGGGCAGCAAAUCAACGAGCAACUAAGAUUCUUAAGGAAGCAUAAACUGUCUGAAGUCACAUUUCUUUUUCUAUUUUAUGUUUUGCAUGAUUUUGAUUCUGAAUGAAAAAAACUUCUUUAUUUUCAUUUAUGUUGUUGACAAAGUUGACUUAAAUUUGGGAUUUUUUUUUGUUUUGCAUGCUGCUUCCAAACAAAGACAUAUAUGUUGUGUGUAUUCUCUUAAGAUUUUAAGAUAAGAGUUUUUUAACUCCAAAUUAUUAAAUAAGUAAUUUGUGUUGUUGUUUUCAGCAUUGUAGUAAAUUUUAGAAGAAUUGCAAAAUAAAGCAAUAUUUUAAUAAGUUUUUCUCUAGAUCUAGUAGUAAACAUAUCAUAGAAUUUAACACUUUUACUAAAUGUCUAUAUUUUUAUUAACCUUUUUAUCUGAAACUUAUCUGACAUUUUUAAAUUGAGACGUUUUGUUUUUCUCUCACUUUUGUUUACUUUUUGUUUUGUUUUGUUUGUGACACAGGCAACAAGCCUAAACGACAGAGUUGAUGUGGCCAAUACAAGAGCAAAGAAGAUACUACGGGACAAUUGAUGACAUUCCUCACCCUUGAUGGGUUUCGGCAUAAUGCAAUUCAUCGCAGACAACAUUUUAGUACCUAUUGUUUAAAUGCAUUUAGCCAAAUGAGAUAACCUCCUACAUUCUCAUUCUUGUUUGACUUAAUUAUUUUUCUAUCUUUGCAAUAUAAAAAAAAAGAAGGUAUAAAUUUCAAUUCAUAAAUGCUAAUUUUUAUUCCAUAAAAAAAGGCCCAAAAAAGUUGUUGGCCCAAUAAAAUUUGUCUAUUCACAAAAUGGAUGAGAAUCUAGGAGGUAAUACCUAUUGCCUAACUGUUCAACACUGUGUGUUGAAUUAUAAAUGUUGAAAUUCAUCCAUUACAGAGUAUUCCCCUUACUUGAUUUGAUUUUGAGUUAUGAGUUUUUAUUUCACAUGAUGGUUUUAAACUGAUAUAUAGUGCUUUGUAAACAAUAUAUUAUAUUUCUUAACAUUAACAACCAAAUCAUUGUAAUAUUAUUUGUAAAUUAAAAAAAUUACCAGCAUUUGACAAUGAACUGUUUAACUGCAACUUAUUCAGAAGUAAGAAAUUAUUCUUGUGAUGAAUUGUCUUACAUUUUAUUUUUGGUUUCUGUUUGAUUUUUAAUUUGAAGUUAAGUUACCGGUACAUGUUAAAUGAAUCAAUUCAUGGACUAUCUGCAAUCUGAUUGAAAUACAAAUCAUGUGUCACCACAAGGAUCUGGCAACACUAUGUCCUACUUUCUGCUCUGGUAAUUACAAUGUCAGCCAAUGAAAUUUCUGCCUCCAAAUUUUUGAAGGUGUGUAUUAUUAUGAAAAAAUCAGAGGAUCCCGAAUGGUCUUUAAAACAGGAAGUAGAAUGGAGGAUAGGCAAAUUGUGGGCACAGGAUCUGUACUUAAAUCAGAUUGGGACUAACUGCUGUGAUGUAAAAUAUGCAAAGACGAGAAACUUGAGGGAUUGGUAACACCAGUACAGAAAGUCUGUAUUAUAGUGUAAAUAAGUUAGGUCUAGAUUUAUCAUGCUUUAUAUGACUGGGGGUGCCAAAAUUGUGAUCUUUAUGAGAUUCAGAAGAAGAAUAGAAAAUGUUUCUGAUAUGAAUAAGAAUGUUCUAAAUAUUAUACAGGGUGUUAAGUGGCAAAUUGAACAUUUAUAGAUUUAAAUUUAUCUGACAUAGAGUAAAAACUAUAUUUUUAAAAAAUGUUGAAUUUUUCUGUGAAUAGGUGUAAAGUAGUUCAUUGUUUCAAGUACAUCUAAUAACAUGAAAAGAUAUUAUUUGAGAUAGAAUUUCUUUCAACAUAUUUUUAAAUCUAUAGAAAGGAAGGAAUACAUUUUUGGAAAUUAUAAUUUUUUUAAGUUUCAAUCUAAGACAAUAAAGCCAGUAUGAUCAUUCAUAAUCAGCCUAAAAUCUGUAAUUUCUCAGCAACUAAGUGUUUUGUGAUAGGACAUAGGGCUCUAAAAGGAGGGACUUGUAAGAGGUGAGCUGCUUGUUAAAAUGUUUUAAGUAAUUUACAUUCCAGUCAUUGUUGCUGUAAAUAUAUUUAUUUUCCUCCACCCAUUAUUCAUCAAUCAAAUUUCACUCAUGAAUUGCUCAAAGAAAGAAAAUAAUUUUGGUUUACUUAUAUGAUAUUUGACAUACAUUAACAAUACGAUACAAUACUAUUCCAUUUCUGAAAAAUUUACACAUACAUGUACUGCCGAUUAUGUUUUAUGGCAAUUCCUGGCAAUUUGGCUUUCCAAUGCUAUCCAUUCAUUGUUAUAUUUAUCAUUCUAUCAUUAUUAUUAUUAUUAUUAUUAUCAUUAUUAUUAUUAUUAUAUAUUAUAUGUGUACAUAGGAAGAUGUUAGUGAUAGAGAAAAGCAUUUUUUAUUAUGAAUGUCAAUUUUACUUUGUGCAAUACUCAUGUAUAAAUAUAUAUGUUAACUAUUUAUGUCAUGUGAUUUUUUGUCAAAAAAAUGUAUGUAGAAAAUAGAAAAUAAUCUAUAAAUCUGCACAGAAAAAGGAUCCAUUCAUUCUUUUGUCAAAGUUCCAGCUAUGUUACAUUAAUGUCAGACAUCUUGGAAAUUUGUGUAGCUGCCAUUAGUGGUUUAUAUUGGAUAAGAGGAAGAUCGAUCACCUUCUGGUGUAUCAGAAUUGACUUAAAAAUGUGGUCAAACUACCUUCUUUUUCUGAAGUUUUAUAACAUUCCAUUUCACAAAAAAAAAAAAUUUAAUUAUGAUGUUCUGAUAAAAAAUUUUCAUAUGCCAUGUUCAAAAGAAAGAAAGAAAUUCUUAUUGAAUAUUUUGUUGAAUUAUUUUACUUUGAACCAAUAUGAAACUUCAGAUAAUGAUUUCAAAUAAUUUUUAAACUGAAGGACUAUUUACUUGUAAUAUAUUAUUUGUUUUCUGUGAAUUAUUUAUUUUUGUAGCAGUUUUUAUAAUCAUUUCUAUUUAUCAUUUAAACAAAGGCAUUAUCAAGAUGUAGUAUUGUAGUGGUUUAAACAAUUGAUGUAAAAAAAAAGUUCACAUUUUAAAUUCCUUUCAUUAGAAACAUUGUCACAAUGACAUUAUAAACAUUGCUUGAUCAAAUUCACCACCAUUUUACGAAAAACAAUCGCUUAAAAAUCAUGCUAAAUUCAAUUAUGGUUUAAAGACUCACAGACAGAAUGAAUGUAUAUUUAAGUGAUAUGUUAUGGCAAUAGUCAAAUGACAGCUAUUGUAAUACAGUCUGAAUAAAAUCUUCAUAUCAUUA